GCGAGAGUGGCGGAAUGGUAGACGCGCAAGGUUCAGGUCCUUGUGCCCGCAAGGGCGUGGGAGUUCAAGUCUCUUCUCUCGUA
rnacentral:tRNA from 1 species